GGAUGAACACUAGCGACAGGCCUAACACAUGCAAGUCGAGGGGCAGCACAUGAGUAGCAAUACGAUGGUGGCGACCGGCGCACGGGUGAGUAACACGUAUGCAACCUGCCUUCUACUAUGGGAUAACCCGUUGAAAGACGGACUAAUACCGUAUAAUACAGGGGCUCCGCAUGGAGAUAUUUGUUAAAGAUUUAUUGGUAGAAGAUGGGCAUGCGUAUGAUUAGAUAGUUGGUGAGGUAACGGCUCACCAAGUCAACGAUCAUUAGGGGUUCUGAGAGGAAGGUCCCCCACACUGGUACUGAGACACGGACCAGACUCCUACGGGAGGCAGCAGUGAGGAAUAUUGGUCAAUGGACGAGAGUCUGAACCAGCCAAGUCGCGUGAAGGAAGACGGUUCUAUGAAUUGUAAACUGCUUUUAUACAGGAAGAAACACUGGUUCGUGAACCAGCUUGACGGUACUGUAAGAAUAAGGAUCGGCUAACUCCGUG
rnacentral:rRNA from 1 species